rnacentral:lncRNA from 1 species
CAGAAGACAACCCGUAUCAUAGCCAGUUGCCUAUGAGCUGGUGAGCUGAGACGUGAGCAUGCCAAGACUCCUUUGUGCUUGCUCAAAACCAUUCCCUCCUGGCCAGGUUGGCUCGUCAGUAUGUGUCAAAGCAUGUGCAGCAGUGAGGUGCCAAUGUCAAGAUGUGUGUGGUCUGUCCCUGCUGCAGGCCCUCUCCCUGCCUCCCUCCCCACCCACCCUCCCCUGUCCUCACCACCAUUAUAACGUCCAAUGAGGCUGAAGGAAGCCCCAGCCCCCAGGGAGACCCAGGACCAGUCUGAUGUCUCUUCUGGCAAUAGAGCAGCCUGUGGUAAACUUCCACACAAGCCACCACCAUCCCAACCCUGGUCCCCAAGGUUUCCACGAUUCCACAUUAGAAAGCUGUGUUCCGAUGACUCCUACCUCUUGUCCGGUUCCAACAGGCCCAUUCCAAGAAAGAGUUAGGAAGAAAAGAGACAGAGGGGUAGAACACAGGGAGAAGGCCUCAGCUGUCCCAACCCUCACGGUCUUUCUCCCACUGGCUGCUGGCGUCAUUCUGGGGACCCUGGUCUCCAGCUUUUCCCUUCCUGUGGGACAAAGGGAGUAGAGCUGGACCCUACUGCUGACAGGCUCAGAUCUGGUUCCCUGUCUGAAGGGACACUCGGUCUGAGACCACCUUCCUGCCCUUCCUCUGUCCCAACCCCCCCUUCCCUGUGUGUUUCACCAGUUAAGCCCCAGUGACCCUGUACCCAUCAGUGGUUUGGGAUUAUUAGUUCCGUCUUUUUUUUAAUUAAAUAAAAACGUUUUUAAAAUG